GACCCGACUGCUAUCGGAUUGAGACUAAGCCAUGCGAGUCAACCCGCAAGGGUGGCGGACGGCUCAGUAACACGUAGUUAACCUGCCCUAAGGACGUGGAUAAUCACGGGAAACUGUGGAUAAACCGCGAUAGGCCAUCGCUGCUGGAAUGGGCAUGGCUUAAAUCUAUAUGGCCUUAGGAUGGAACUGCGGCCGAUCAGGUUGUUGGUGAGGUAAUGGCCUACCAAGCCUGUAACCGGUACGGGCUCUGAGAGGAGUAGCCCGGAGAUGGGCACUGAGACAAGGGCCCAGGUCCUAUGGGACGCAGCAGGCGCGAAAACUUCGCAAUAGGCGAAAGCUUGACGAGGUUAGUCCGAGUGGUUUCUGCUAAAGGAAUCUUUUAUCAGCUCUAAAACGGCUAAUGAAUAAGGGGUGGGCAAGCCUGGUGUCAGCCGCCGCGGUAAUACCAGCACCCCGAGUGGUCGGGAUGAUUAUUGGGCCUAAAGCAUCCGUAGCCGGUCUUACAAGUCUUCUGUUAAAUCCACCUGCUCAACAGUUGGGCUGCGGGAGAUACUGUAAGACUAGGAGGCGGGAAGGUGGGGGGGGUUUCCUUGGGUUAGGGGUAAAAUCCUCUAAUCCAUGGAGGACCACCAGUGGCGAAGGCGUCCCACCAGAACGCGCUCGACGGUGAGGGAUGAAAGCUGGGGGAGCAAACCGGAUUAGAUACCCGGGUAGUCCCAGCUGUAAACGAUGCAGGCUCGUUGAUUGGGUUGGGUUCGACCCAACCCACUGCCGCAGGGAAGCGGUUAAUCCUGCCGCCUGGGGAGUACGGUCGCCACACUGAAACUUGAAGGAAUUGUCGGGGGAGCACCACCACGCGCUCACUCUUGGGGUUCAAUUGCAUUCGACUC
rnacentral:rRNA from 1 species